CGGGAGGUGAAAAUAGCGCCCUAUAAGUAGCAGGGCGUUGCAGCGGGCCGAGAAGACGUGCCAAGAGGCUACGCAGGUGCCUCUCCCUUACCUGCGGCUUCUCGUCCUUCGGCCUGGAAAGCCGCCUGCACGUUCUUUGCAUUGUAUCCGUAUAUUAAAAGUGAGGCGUCUAGAACGCGAAGUUUUCUGCCCUCGGCCAUUAUCGUUACCGCUUUCUGGAUUUUGACAAGUUAGGAUCGCCCCCCCCUUCGCUGUUAGUAGGUGUCACAAGCGCGAGGACCUUUCGCCACAGCUUGGUUAAAAAUGGAUUAAUCGGCGGGUAUCACGGCAGUUCACUGUUGCACUGCUUUUUACGCCUCCGUGGGUUCGAGGUGACGGCUAUAGCGAAGGUGCUUGGCAUCCGCGACGUCCCAGGUUGAGUGCCUGGCAUCUGCAGGUUGAGCUGGGAAGAAACCCUGGAGAUUAUGAAGCCCUGGAAAGCCCCUUCCAGGCUGAGCUAAUGGACCAGUAGGGUUUCUGUAUUCCUGCCUUCCCGGUGCAUUUCCCCGCCUGUGUGUUCUUUAUUUAGGGACACCGAAAGCUGCCUUAUUAUACUUGGUCACACCGUUGCUGCAAUAUUGUCAACACCCUUUAAUUCAGUUCUGUUCAUAAGUUUAUUGUUCUGUCCAAAGGCCAUGGCAAACUUGCAGAAACAGUAUCUAUAAAAUAAUAUUGAACAUACAAAAUGUAAGCCAAUAUCCAUGAUGUGUGUGAGAGAAUUCACCAGAGACACAAGCAAGCUUAAAUCUAUCUUAAUUUCAGAUGCUCAACAUGUGGAAACUGCUUUGAGGGUUCCUAUUUUUUUAAUUGAGCAGGGUAUAAAUGUUUUGAAAUAAAAUGGUGAACUCUGACACUUUCACACUGAAAUGAGAUAUAGAGUUGUAUUUUCUCCUAAUUGUAGAUGCUCAUGCACUGAGAAGGCCAAAACGAUAAUGUACAGUUUGCACAGAUCUGGAAUUACUGCUAGAGGUGGUGUGUGAUCACUUUUCUGGUGCAGACUGCACUAAAUAACCAUGGUCACACUCACCAUACCACUCUGAAUGGUAAUGGUUUCCCCAGUGAAUCCUGGGAAUUCUAAUUUGUUAAGGGUGCCAAGAGUUGAUAGGAGACCCCUCAAAAAGCUACAGUUCCCAGCACCUUUAACAAAUUACAGUUCCAAGGAUCCUUUGGGGGAAGCCAUGAUGUUAAAGUGGUAUAAGGGUGCUUUGAAUAUACGGUGUUUAUGUGAAUCAUAAGUAUAAUCUGCCUCCCCAACCCUGCACAUGCAGGGUGAUUUUGACACCAGACUACCUUCAAAUAUGUAAUCUUCACAGCGCAUAAUGAGGUGGUGCAGCUAGUUUCCUGAACAUUUGAAUAUCUCUUAGGUUUACAUGUCACAGCUAAGCAGCAAGUGCAAAAACUAGUAAUUAUGCCACUAGAUAACAUCUCCACAAGAGCAAAAAAGCAUUGUUACGAGGUUUCUUUUUUGGGGGGGAAGUGCGGGCAGGUAGGAUGUAUACCUGAGCCACCUUCCAAUUCCUGAAUCCAGCAAUUAUUAAAAUCUAAACAAGGAUUCAAAUUGCUGAAAGAACCAAGCAAACCAAACCCUGGGUGAGCACCUGGAAUUUUUCAUUGCUUUUAAGAUUCUGGCAGCAUGCAACAACAGCAUUGUCCUUUAACUCUUUGCACUGUAAGAUUUCACCAUCUGAAAUUAUUGGGAUUAGGAAGAAAUUGACUCCAGAUAGGUAUGGGACUUAUAUGAGCCUGAAUUUUGUUUUUAUCAUCUCCACCCUGUGAAGUGGUAACUCCCAUUUUGUUUUUUUAUACCCAGUCUUGGUGAUGCAGAGCAGGAGUUACAUUAGGGGAGAGCAGGGGAGGAAGGCUCCCUUUUGGAUUUGAAGCAGCACCUAUUUAUUCCUAUAUUUCUGGCUAACUCAUCUGUUUUACCCAGUGACUCUGAGUGACUUUUAAGGAUAAUUAAAUGGGAUUGUGUGCUGGAUUUCCAUGCGAAAGGGAUAAAUUAUUCUAUUGAAAAAAGAAAAAAGGCUGGUG